rnacentral:lncRNA from 1 species
CACACAUUACCAUAAAUUGGAUCAGGUUCAUCUUUACAUUGCUUUUAAGAAUUAGGCACAGACAUUCAGAUGUUUGCAAGGAAGAGAAAGGAUGGAAGCAGGAAAGAACAGAAAGAAAGUGAAGGAAGAUAUACUGCCUACUCUCCCAGACACCAAGAUCCCCAGCACGGCCAGCUUUUCUGUAUAGAUGUAAGGAGAGGAACAGUUGGGGGGAGCUAGAACGUGUACAGAUGCCCAAAUGCAUGAGUCACAGUAACAGUGGCUAUAGUCUCCAGGGCAAUUGGAAGUCCUCAGGCUCCAGUGGACUGCAGUGAGUUGCCUCCAGGUUCUUAAGGUGCCUGCGUGCCAAGAACAGUGCAAGCUGCCGGCGCCGCCGGGCACUCAGACCUUGGCCCACGAACCAAGGAAAGGAAAGUCCGUGUGGCCCCCAGGCCUCGGCAUCGUCCAGCUCCUUCUGGCAUCUCUCACGAUAAGAACGAAGUGUUGCUAAGCACCACUCAUCAUCAACGCGGUAGCGUGCAUAUAAUGCAGUUUCUUGAGCCAAGUUGCUGGCACGUAGCCAGCGGGUUACCACGGUGCGGCCCUCGCGAGCCAUCACAGAGGGAUAUCUGUGCUGUAGAAGGCGCAACAGCAGCUCAUUGCCACGGUUACCUUCCACAUCCCCCUCCACUUGGCAAGAUGGCAUCGAGGGUAUAUGGUUCGAGGUGCUGACAACAUCAUCUUGUGUACGUCUGAGCAAGAGUACUGGGCCUGGGUAGCAGCACAGCUGCUCAGCAACAUUGAGAUUGAAGUGUUCCCGUACAGUGCGUACUACCAGCCCUUUCCAACUCUGGGGCAUAACCUUCAGCGCUAGUGGCACCAGAUCAUCAAAGGUGGCGUCCAGCACUAGUGCACCCAGUUCUGGGUAAGUCAUGGUGGCCCAAGUGGCUGUGAAGCCUCCUAUAGACCAGCCAUAAACCACCACGUGUGCUGGCGGGAAGUUCAAACGGUGCAGCGCAUAUUUGACCACUACAUCCAUUGCAUUUGCAUCAUGUUGUGGGAAAGGUGCACCUGUGCUGCCUCCAAAGCCAGGGUGGUUCCAGCCUAGCACUGAGUAUCCAGCCUCCAGAGGUGCGGACAGGCAGCCCAUCUCAUAGAAGCCAGCAUUCCCUUCACAGCAUAUGACCAGACAAAGGCCGCGGCCAUGGCUGCCGGGAUGCUGACGGCGAUCCAUGAACAUGGUGUCAAUCUCAUUGCCGUCGCAGGCCACCAGCUUGGCACGCCGCCCACGGUAGCGGUCCACUAGUCGCUCCUGGCCCUGCUGUAGUAGAGGCAUUAAUGCACGCGUCAUCAAGAACAUAGAACCGGGGUAUACAAGCCAGCGGCCCAGUGAGUGGGCCAGUGCAUAGCUAGCAAGCUGGCUGGGCAGCUCACGGAUCUGCUGGAGGAGGCACUGCACUUGGCUCCGAGCUCCACGUGGAGGCCUUGUGAGUGUGUCGCCUCCCAGUGCAGCAUCGUGUAGCAGCCACACACCUGCAGCAGCUGCAGCACAGGUCAACGCACGUUGACUGCUAUUACCAGUGCUUGGGGCAUGCAGGUCAUCCCAGCGGAAGUCCACCGGCCAGCUGCGGAAGUUGUAACUGUAGUUUGCUGUCAAGUAGAUCUUGAACACGUGCACUAGUGCCUUCACAAAGCAGAUGACACACAUGGGCACUGAAGAUCUGAGCUGUUCCCUGAAGGCCCAGUCCUAGUUGUGAAAUGACAGCUGGAGAUGCAGGCCUGGCCCAGCCGGUGUCUGCGGAGGCAGGGGCCACGCACAGCACAGCACUCUGAUGACAUGCCUCCUCUGGGUAGGCCCCAAUGGCCUUUGUGACCUGUGCCUUCCAGGGCUAAGGAAAAGCUGUAUGGCUCAGUUUUGUGAGUCACUGUUGCUGGGAGAAGUGAUGCUAGGGUGACAGGCUCACAAAGGCUUCUAAGGCUUUGAAUAUCUCUAGUUCUGCCCCACCCACCUAGGAAAGUGCCUUAGGACCUCACAGAAACUUCCUAACAUGUUUCUACCACCUUGAGCAGCUCCCAUCUCCUCCACUAAAGGCCUUGACGAAGGAUCCAGCCCCUUCCAGCCCCCAAUGUGGGGUUUCCUUGGAUGCCAGCCCAUCCUGGGUUGGACUUGAAGAUGGCAAAAUGCCCAGGGGAGAAACCCCUCAGAUCUUGCUCUUUGCUACAUAUCCACAGAUCUCAGGACCAGGUGUUUUCUGCUUCCUUCAGAUCCUAGAUUCUGAACUGUGGGAACCUCCUGGGUUACUGAAGCUUCAGCCUAAAACUCUGCAGCAGGGGAGAAGAGGCAGCAGUGGCUUUGUCUCACGCAGCCACAACUGGAAGUCAUCCUGCUAGGGCUUUUUGUUUGUUCAUUUAUUUGUGUGUGUGUGUGUGUGUGUGUGUGUCUGCCACCACAUGUGUUCAGGUAUCUAAGGAGGCCAAUAGAAGGGAUGGGAACUCCUGGAGCUGGAGUUACAGCUGUGAACCAGCUAAUACUGUGUGCUGUGAACUGAACUCUGGUUUUCUGUAAAAGCGGGAAGUGUUCUUAACUACUAGGCUAUCUCUCUAGCCACAAAUGAAAAAAAAUUUUUUUUAAACAGGAC